GACGAACGCUGGCGGCGUGCCUAAUACAUGCAAGUUGAGCGCUGAAGGUUGGUACUUGUACCGACUGGAUGAGCAGCGAACGGGUGAGUAACGCGUGGGGAAUCUGCCUUUGAGCGGGGGACAACAUUUGGAAACGAAUGCUAAUACCGCAUAAAAACUUUAAACACAAGUUUUAAGUUUGAAAGAUGCAAUUGCAUCACUCAAAGAUGGUCCAGCGUUGUAUUAGCUAGUUGGUGAGGUAAAGGCUCACCAAGGCGAGGUUACAUAGCCGACCUGAGAGGGUGGUCAGCCACACUGGGACUGUGACACGGCCCAAACUCCUUGGGGAGGCAGCCAGACUGAAACUUCGGCCAGGGACGAAAGUCUGACCGAGCAACGCCGCGUGAGUGAAGAAGGUUUUCGGAUCGUAAAACUCUGUUGGUAGAUAAGAACGUUGGUGAGAGUGGAAAGCUCAUCAAGUGACGGUAACUACUCAGAAAGGGACGGCUAACUACGUG
rnacentral:rRNA from 1 species